AUCUUCUUAGUAUAUAAGUACUUUUGACUUCCAAUCAAAAAGACCAUAAUAAUGGAGUUGAUA
rnacentral:tRNA from 1 species